CAGGAACCCGUGACAAGAAGGAAGUUGAGAGCACAUGGGAAGCCCACUGUGCGUGCUGUUUGGUUUCCAGAGAAGCUGAGUGUGAAUCAGGGACCUGAGCUGGGGCCUAAAGGAUGAACUGAAUUAUGCUGAAUUUAUCUUGCUCAGGGUAAGGUGUAGCAGGGGAAGGGCUCCGAAUAGAGGAUAGUGUGACAGCCAGAAGGAAGAUGAGGAAAAAUGUACUCUGCAAAAGUUAUGGGAAGGGAUCCUUGCGCACAGAACAGGGCAAAGAGAUGCAUCCCUGCGUGGCAACUGCUAGAAGUCUACAGUGACCAGCUAGCUGUGUCAGAAGGCUGAGUGUUGCUCAAGAAAAUCUUGCCCCCUAAGCUCCCUGGGCUCCACGUCUGCCUCAGCUAUGGGACAGCAAAAGCUGGUCCCUGUCUUCUUCUCACCAUCUCCCACUUCUGAAGGACAGCAUCAGGAGAGACAGAACAGACAACACAGCCGCAAGUUACCUUGUAUCUUCUCAAUUCUCAGAGCCAAGAUAGUGUUUCCCUCCACCCCUGGACCCGGCUUCUUCUGAAAGAUCCCCAGCCAUAGGCUAGGAAAAGUGCUUCAAAUACCAGGUUAGCUGGACUAAGCCAUGUGUAAAGUGCUCUUAAAAGGAUUGCAACUACCAAUGGUCUUGUCUUUACAUGCAUAAUAAACAGCUACAAUAAUUAACAAUAAAAUAAUGUAUAUUUACAUUUGAACUAGGUAACACUAAUGCUAGAAUUGUAUAAUAAAGAAAUUGUGCUCUAAAAUUCUGCCUCUCCAUCCUAUUCUUUCUGAUUUUGCUUAGAGAACUUGGCCAUCUUUAACUCAUCUCAGCACAGCCAAAACUUGGGAAGAAAGAUUUUUUAACUGAAAAAAAAAAAAAAAAAAAAAAUAGGGGAAGGCGCUAUUUUAGAUCUGCUGAAUCAAACAAAAAAAAUGUUUUAUACCAACACAGCAACCUUAAGACAAAGAUGUAACAAGGGAAAUAAUAAGGUCGGUCAGGAUUUUUCAUACUGAAACCCUGAAUUUGGACUUUCCUGAGACCAAGCUUAAAAGCAGUAUUAUGAUGUGGGUAAUCUAGAGAUCUUCUAGCAUUAUGAUUCUAACACAAGCGUUUUAGAUGCUUGUUGGUUAAAGAUAGACCACAGAGAAUCACAAGACAGGUUAAAUGGAGCGCCACUCUUCUUGGAGCUCGUUUUAGUCAAUACCAAGUCCAUAGCUGCCUUUUAUAGGAAAUUCACAAUUAGUUACUUCUUUGACUCACUGUGGUUUAACUCCCCCACACCCCUAGAAUUAAACUCUUCUUCAGAAAAGAAAUUGUCAUUAAAGAAAAAAUUGGUUCCAUUUAAAUAUACACAA